GACAAAUAUUCCUCCUCAUAAUCUUGGAGAGUUGGUCAAUGUGCUUUGCGCUUUGAUCCAUAAUCCAGAAGCCACGCUGCAAGAACUACUUGAAUACAUGCCGCCUGCACCUGAUUUUCCAACUGGAGGAACAAUAAUGGGAAACCUUGUGUUAGUCUUUUUUUUUUUUUUUGGUAAGAACCUUGGGUUAGUCUUUACUCAUCUCCUUUGUUGAGUCUAUUUGUAAUAAAUUCUCUUAUAUGCGUACUCCGCCUUUCUGAUUUAAUUUCGUCCAGUUUUUCAUAUCUCUUUUAGAACAUGCUAUGCUCUCUAGGUGAUAAAUAUAAGGACUCGCAAGCCAAUAUGUAGACUUUGUAAAAUAAAUAACUAUGGAUAUAGAGAAAGUUGUGGUAAACCAGGUUCCACCUGUAUCAGGUCUAUAAAUUUAAGUAGUACGAUUUUACUUGCUCGUGCAGCAUGAGCUGAAACCGGUUUUGGCUAGAAGAGCCGAGCAUUACUUCUCGGAGAACAUGCGGGUUACUAAAGGCAAAUGCGAAUUCUUAUAUAUAGAAGCCUCGUUAUGUGCAUAAAUGAUUCACUGAGUCCUCUAUGAUGGCUUUAAGGACUUGUAUGAAUAUUUGUGAUACUUAAAUUUCAGGCAAUCUUGAAGAAUUUGGAAAUCUUAUUUCAGCGUCCGGCUUGAGUUCUAUUGAGAAUUACGAAUGCGGUGCGGAGCCACUGAUUCAGAUAUACAAGAUUCUUCUCAAGGCACCUGGUGUAUACGGAGCUCGGUUCAGUGGAGCAGGCUUUAGGGGAUGUUUGUAGAUGCAGCAAAAGCUGAGGAAGCUGCUUCAUAUGUGAAGGAUGAAUAUGAAAAGGCACAACCCGAGUUUGCCAAGAAACUGGAUGGAGGAAAACCUGUUCUCAUCAGGUGACUCUGCUCGCGUUCUCUGAUCAAACCUGGAGUUUUGGUUUCUCUUCGAUAAGCCAACUUGAGCCUAGAUUUCUGCCUCUUGAACGCUCUCUCAUGCUCUUUAUUGAUUCUUGUUUGUUCAUGCUCUUUUUUUUUUCUCUGUGAGAAAUUCUCUGGUCUCUCUGGUCAGAGUUAGAAAUGGUUAAUUGAUUGAUACGUUUCUAUUGUUACUAAGACGUUGGUAAUACAUAAUGUAAAUCAUCCAUCUUUUUUUCCUCUUUGGGAUUUCUUUAGAGGUUUUUCCGAAUUUAGGCUAACCGUUUUUAGGUGAAUAGAGAAAUUU